AACUCCUUUCCUAGAUUUCUAUAGAGGAUGGAUCCCAUCUAUUAGACUCAGGCCCUCACCAAUUCCCGAACCAGUCCUGAAGAUGUGGCAUUCUAACCAGUAAUAUCAGCAACCUAGUGCUUGCUUUCUAACAAGACCCCUGCCUGUCUAGAUAAUCUGUAUGUUGUAGCUUUCCCUUCCAUCCCCUAAUUUUGGCAUUAUUUGUAGGGUGAAAUUUUGCCUCAGUUUCCCUCCCCAGUGUGCUUGGUAUCUAAUACAUUUUGGUUUAUCCUACUUCCUUUGAAUUCCCCCCUCUCUUCUGUCACUGUCUGUAGUUUUGCUGCAAAUGGACAGAUAUAGCUACUGAAUCUUGAUAUAGUUACCUGUGAGGCUUUGAGCAUACCUGCCGACUCUGCUCUCUUCUCUCCUCCAGCAUUGUGCUCCUUUGAUAUCGAUGCUUGCCUAACCCAUGGCCAAAUAUUGUUGUGCCUUCUAUAAUAUUGUUAUAGAAUAUCCAGCUGCUUCCACUGGACUGUAUUUCAUACCUUGAAUUGGGCAAAUUUACCACUCUAAAGAAGAAAAUCAGUGUUUUGUUAGCAACAAGCAGCAGUGGAAGGAAGAAUCAUUGACAGGUUAGCUGUUAAACAGCUUUUGACACACUAUACACAUAAAUAUGCAAUGAUCAAGGUUACAGAGGGCAGCUUUCAACUAGCUUUUUAGUUCUACUCUUUUAACUAUGGGAAAACAAUGGAAAAAUAUUAGAUAUUUGAGGAAAGCUGUAUACACAAAAGAUACAAAACAUGCAAAUGUAAGUAAUAACUUGGAGAAAGCAGAGACAAUGUAAGGAGAAAAAAGUUUUAAAAUUAUCGUUAACAUUUUCAUAGAGACAAGAGAAGAUAUAGUGAUCUUGAAAUAAGAAGCGAACCCUACCAAAGGAAUAUUCAAUGUUGUUUUUUUUGGCUUGAGUUGCUGCUGUGGCAGGGGUUUGAUCCCUGGCCCAGGAAGUUCCGUAUGCUGUGGGUGUGGCCAAAAAAAAGUGACAAAAAAGAGAACUGAGAAAAUGGAGGGAGAAAUCUGUCAAUAAAUCAAGAAAAUUCUCUAGAACUAAAGGAAUCAAUUUCAAUCCAUUUUCAUAAGGUACAUCACUGUAAAAUUUCAGAACUCAAAGAGAAGUUGGGAGAAAGAGGUGUGAAAUACAACAGGCUACAGAUCAGAAUGACUUCAGAUUUUUCACAAUACUGGAAUCUAGAAGAUAAGGGAAGAGUUCCCGUUGAGGCACAGUGGGUUAAAGAUCCAGUGUUGUCUCUGCAGCAGCUCAUGUCACUGCAGGGGCAUAGGUUCAAUCCCUGGCCUGGUACAGUGGAUUAAGGAUCCAGCAUUGCUAUCCCUGUGGUGUAGGUCACAGCUAUGGCUCCGAUUCAGUCUUUGGACCAGGAACUUCCAUAUUCCAUGGGUGUGGCCAAAAAACAAAGAAGGAAGGAAAGAAGGAAGGAAGGAAGGAAAGAAAGAAAGAAAG
rnacentral:lncRNA from 1 species